CCAUUUAAAGAGUGCGUAAUAGCUCACUAGUCGAGUGACUCUGCGCCGAAAAUGUACCGGGGCUAAAUACACCACCGAAGCUGCGAAUUGAUACCAAUGGUAUCAGUGGUAGGGGAGCGUUCUAAGUGCAGUGAAGUCAGACCGGAAGGACUGGUGGAGCGCUUAGAAGUGAGAAUGCCGGUAUGAGUAGCGAAAGACGGGUGAGAAUCCCGUCCACCGAAUGCCUAAGGUUUCCUGAGGAAGGCUCGUCCGCUCAGGGUUAGUCAGGACCUAAGCCGAGGCCGACAGGCGUAGGCGAUGGACAACAGGUUGAUAUUCCUGUACCACCUCUUUAUCGUUUGAGCAAUGGAGGGACGCAGAAGGAUAGAAGAAGCGUGCGAUUGGUUGUGCACGUCCAAGCAGUUAGGCUGAUAAGUAGGCAAAUCCGCUUAUCGUGAAGGCUGAGCUGUGAUGGGGAAGCUCCUUAUGGAGCGAAGUCUUUGAUUCCCCGCUGCCAAGAAAAGCUUCUAGCGAGAUAAAAGGUGCCUGUACCGCAAACCGACACAGGUAGGCGAGGAGAGAAUCCUAAGGUGUGCGAGAGAACUCUGGUUAAGGAACUCGGCAAAAUGACCCCGUAACUUCGGGAGAAGGGGUGCUUUCUUAACGGAAAGCCGCAGUGAAUAGGCCCAAGCGACUGUUUAGCAAAAACACAGGUCUCUGCGAAGCCGUAAGGCGAAGUAUAGGGGCUGACACCUGCCCGGUGCUGGAAGGUUAAGGAGAGGGGUUAGCGUAAGCGAAGCUCUGAACUGAAGCCCCAGUAAACGGCGGCCGUAACUAUAACGGUCCUAAGGUAGCGAAAUUCCUUGUCGGGUAAGUUCCGACCCGCACGAAAGGUGUAACGAUUUGGGCACUGUCUCAACCAGAGACUCGGUGAAAUUAUAGUACCUGUGAAGAUGCAGGUUACCCGCGACAGGACGGAAAGACCCCGUGGAGCUUUACUGUAGCCUGAUAUUGAAUUUUGGUACAGUUUGUACAGGAUAGGCGGGAGCCAUUGAAACCGGAGCGCUAGCUUCGGUGGAGGCGCUGGUGGGAUACCGCCCUGACUGUAUUGAAAUUCUAACCUACGGGUCUUAUCGACCCGGGAGACAGUGUCAGGUGGGCAGUUUGACUGGGGCGGUCGCCUCCUAAAGUGUAACGGAGGCGCCCAAAGGUUCCCUCAGAAUGGUUGGAAAUCAUUCGUAGAGUGCAAAGGCAUAAGGGAGCUUGACUGCGAGACCUACAAGUCGAGCAGGGACGAAAGUCGGGCUUAGUGAUCCGGUGGUUCCGCAUGGAAGGGCCAUCGCUCAACGGAUAAAAGCUACCCCGGGGAUAACAGGCUUAUCUCCCCCAAGAGUCCACAUCGACGGGGAGGUUUGGCACCUCGAUGUCGGCUCAUCGCAUCCUGGGGCUGUAGUCGGUCCCAAGGGUUGGGCUGUUCGCCCAUUAAAGCGGUACGCGAGCUGGGUUCAGAACGUCGUGAGACAGUUCGGUCCCUAUCCGUCGUGGGCGUAGGAAAUUUGAGAGGAGCUGUCCUUAGUACGAGAGGACCGGGAUGGACGCACCGCUGGUGUACCAGUUGUUCUGCCAAGGGCAUAGCUGGGUAGCUAUGUGCGGAAGGGAUAAGUGCUGAAAGCAUCUAAGCAUGAAGCCCCCCUCAAGAUGAGAUUUCCCAUAGCGUAAGCUAGUAAGAUCCCUGAAAGAUGAUCAGGUUGAUAGGUUCGAGGUGGAAGCAUGGUGACAUGUGGAGCUGACGAAUACUAAUAGAUCGAGGACUUAACCAU
rnacentral:rRNA from 2 species